CCUACGGGUGGCAGCAGUGAGGAAUAUUGGUCAAUGGGCGGAAGCCUGAACCAGCCAAGUAGCGUGCGGGAUGAAGGCCCUACGGGUCGUAAACCGCUUUUGCACGGGGAUAACACCCUCCACUUGUGGAGGUCUGCAGGUACCGUGCGAAUAAGGGCCGGCUAAUUCCGUGCCAGCAGCCGCGGUAAUACGUAGGUGGCAAGCGUUGUCCGGAUUUACUGGGUGUAAAGGGCGUGCAGCCGGAGAGACAAGUCAGAUGUGAAAUCCACGGGCUCAACCCGUGAACUGCAUUUGAAACUGUUUCCCUUGAGUGUCGGAGAGGUAAUCGGAAUUCCUAGUGUAGCGGUGAAAUGCGUAGAUAUUAGGAAGAACACCAGUGGCGAAGGCGGAUUACUGGACGAUAACUGACGGUGAGGCGCGAAAGCGUGGGGAGCAAACAGGAUUAGAUACCCUUGUAGUC
rnacentral:rRNA from 1 species